rnacentral:tRNA from 1 species
GGGGCCUUAGCUCAGCUGGGAGAGCGCCUGCUUUGCACGCAGGAGGUCAGCUGUGAGAUAAACAAAGGAUCCG